GCCUGGGUGGCUCAGUUGGUAGGGCGUCUGACUUCAGCUCAGGUCAUGAUCUCACUGUUCGUGAGUUCAAGCCCCGUGUUGGGCU
rnacentral:tRNA from 1 species